rnacentral:rRNA from 1 species
CUUGUACACACCGCCCGUCACACCAUGGGAGCGGGUUCUGCCAGAAGUAGUUAGCCUAACCGCAAGGAGGGCGAUUACCGCGGCAGGGUUCGUGACUGGGGUG